rnacentral:lncRNA from 1 species
UCCAUCCAAGUAAGAAAUCAACAGUUCAAGUUCCAAGUUACUUGAAGUACAUUUAUACACGUGCUCACUGCUCAAUCAACGACCUCAUCGCCUACCCAUGCACGCACACGCAUGUAGAGAGGACGUCUACUUGAAGUAGUAUGGGAGGUCGAGCACGUAGAGGAGGAAGUAGGCCCAGACCACGCCGGAGAUGCCGCCGAAGAAGAAGCCUCCGGUGAACUUGGCCCAGCCGUCGGCGGUCUGCAGCUUGUCGGCCUCCUUCUUGCGGCCGGUGAGCGUGAGCGUGGGCGCCGUGGACGGGUCGCCCUCGUUGAAGGAGGCGACGCCGUACAUGGUGAGGCAGACGCUGAGGAUGGUGACGAGCCCGGCGGCGCCCAGGGCGCCCGCCUGGCCGUGCACGGGCGUGUUGCGGAGCGGGCCGGUGAGGGCGAAGGGGCCCACGAGGAGGUAGCCGUGCGCAAGCCCGACCUCGAUGCCGCGGAGCAGCGGGCUCACGGCGGUGCGGUAGGCCGGGAGGUUGGAGAGGUACCAGGCGAUGAGCGGGCUGGAGGUGAUGGGCGUCUCCAGGCUGCCGAUGAAGGGGUCGCCGUUGAUGGGCUGCACCACCUGGUACGUU